rnacentral:rRNA from 1 species
UACGUAGGGGGCAAGCGUUAUCCGGAUUUACUGGGUGUAAAGGGAGCGCAGGCGGUAUGGCAAGUCAGAUGUGAAAACCCGGGGCCCAACCCCGGGAGUGCAUUUGAAACUGUCUGGCUAGAGUGCAGGAGAGGUAAGUGGAAUUCCUAGUGUAGCGGUGAAAUGCAUAGAUAUUAGGAGGAACACCAGUGGCGAAGGCGGAUUACUGGACGACAACUGACGGUGAGGCGCGAAAGCGUGGGGAGCAAACAGG